rnacentral:hammerhead_ribozyme from 1 species
GUACUGAUGAAGAGUCCCAAACUAGGACGACACACAUGUCCAAUAC